UAGGGAAUCUUCGGCAAUGGGGGCAACCCUGACCGAGCAACGCCGCGUGAGUGAAGAAGGUUUUCGGAUCGUAAAGCUCUGUUGUAAGAGAAGAACGUGUGUGAGAGUGGAAAGUUCACACAGUGACGGUAACUUACCAGAAAGGGACGGCUAACUACGUGCCAGCAGCCGCGGUAAUACGUAGGUCCCGAGCGUUGUCCGGAUUUAUUGGGCGUAAAGCGAGCGCAGGCGGUUUAAUAAGUCUGAAGUUAAAGGCAGUGGCUUAACCAUUGUUCGCUUUGGAAACUGUUAAACUUGAGUGCAGAAGGGGGGAGUGGAAUUCCAUGUGUAGCGGUGAAAUGCGUAGAUAUAUGGAGGAACACCGGUGGCGAAAGCGGCUCUCUGGUCUGUAACUGACGCUGAGGCUCGAAAGCGUGGGGAGCAAACAGG
rnacentral:rRNA from 1 species